rnacentral:rRNA from 1 species
AUUGAACGCUGGCGGCAUGCCUUACACAUGCAAGUCGAACGGCAGCGCGGACUUCGGUCUGGCGGCGAGUGGCGAACGGGUGAGUAAUACAUCGGAACGUACCCUGUUGUGGGGGAUAACUAGUCGAAAGAUUAGCUAAUACCGCAUACGACCUGAGGGUGAAAGGGGGGGACCGCAAGGCCUCACGGAGAAGGAACGGCCGAUGUCUGAUUAGUUAGUUGGUGGGGUAAAGGCCCACCAAGGCGACGAUCAGUAGCUGGUCUGAGAGGACGAUCAGCCACACUGGGACUGAGACACGGCCCAGACUCCUACGGGAGGCAGCAGUGGGGAAUUUUGGACAAUGGGGGCAACCCUGAUCCAGCAAUGCCGCGUGUGUGAAGAAGGCCUUCGGGUUGUAAAGCACUUUUGUCCGGAAAGAAAUCGCGCUGGUUAAUACCUGGCGUGGAUGACGGUACCGGAAGAAUAAGCACCGGCUAACUACGUGCCAGCAGCCGCGGUAA